AGGAUGAACGCUGGCGGCGUGCUUAACACAUGCAAGUCGAACGAUGAAGGCUGGAGCUUGCUCUGGCUGGAUUAGUGGCGAACGGGUGAGUAACACGUGAGUAACCUGCCCCAGACUCUGGGAUAAGCGCUGGAAACGGCGUCUAAUACCGGAUACGAGCUUCCACCGCAUGGUGAGGAGCUGGAAAGAUUUCGGCUGGGAUGGACUCGCGGCCUAUCAGCUUGUUGGUGAGGUAAUGGACUCACCAAGGCGACGACGGGUAGCCGGCCUGAGAGGGUGACCGGCCACGACUGGGACUGAGACACGGGCCCAGACUCCUACGGGA
rnacentral:rRNA from 1 species